UUCGUAGGUGACCUGCGGAGGAUCAUUGUCGAUGCCUAAAACAUCAAACGACCCGCGAACGCGUUUUAACCAAAACCACGCGUGUGCGCCCUCGGCCCGCGCGCGCCCAAACAAACAAACCCCGGCGCAGGUCGCGCCAAGGAACUCCAACGAAUUCGCCUGCCCCCUGCCCCGGCUCUGGAGCGCGGGGGGCAGAGCAUUCUUGUCGUAUUAUUUCACAACGACUCUC
rnacentral:misc_RNA from 1 species